rnacentral:rRNA from 1 species
GCUCAGGAUGAACGCUGGCGGCGUGCUUAACACAUGCAAGUCGAACGAAGAUAUUUAGAAUGAGAGCUUCGGCAGGAUUUUUAUCUAUCUUAGUGGCGGACGGGUGAGUAACGUGUGGGCAACCUGCCCUGUACUGGGGAAUAAUCAUUGGAAACGAUGACUAAUACCGCAUGUGGUCCUCGGAAGGCAUCUUCUGAGGAAGAAAGGAUUUAUUCGGUACAGGAUGGGCCCGCAUCUGAUUAGCUAGUUGGUGAGAUAACAGCCCACCAAGGCGACGAUCAGUAGCCGACCUGAGAGGGUGAUCGGCCACAUUGGGACUGAGACACGGCCCAAACUCCUACGGGAGGCAGCAGUA